UGGGGAAUAUUGGACAAUGGGGGCAACCCUGAUCCAGCCAUGCCCCGUGAGUGAUGAAGGCCUUAGGGUUGUAAAGCUCUUUUAUCCGGGACGAUAAUGACGGUACCGGAGGAAUAAGCCCCGGCUAACUUCGUGCCAGCAGCCGCGGUAAUACGAAGGGGGCUAGCGUUGCUCGGAAUCACUGGGCGUAAAGGGCGCGUAGGCGGUCUUUUAAGUCGGGGGUGAAAGCCUGUGGCUCAACCACAGAAUUGCCUUCGAUACUGGGAGACUUGAGUUCGGAAGAGGUUGGUGGAACUGCGGGUGUAGAGGUGAAAUUCGUAGAUAUUCGCAAGAACACCGGUGGCGAAGGCGGCCAACUGGUCCGACACUGACGCUGAGGCGCGAAAGCGUGGGGAGCAAACAGG
rnacentral:rRNA from 1 species